rnacentral:rRNA from 1 species
AGGAAUAUUGGACAAUGGUCGCAAGACUGAUCCAGCCAUGCCGCGUGCAGGAAGACGGCCCUAUGGGUUGUAAACUGCUUUUGUACCAGAGAAAACCUAUCUACGUGUAGAUAGCUGAUAGUAUGGUAAGAAUAAGCAUCGGCUAACUUCGUGCCAGCAGCCGCGGUAAGACGAAGGAUGCAAGCGUUAUCCGGAUUCAUUGGGUUUAAAGGGUGCGUAGGCGGGCUUGUAAGUCAGUGGUGAAAUCUCUCAGCUUAACUGAGAAACUGCCAUUGAUACUGCAGGCCUAGAGUAUAGAUGACGUUGGCGGAAUAUGACAUGUAGUGGUGAAAUACUUAGAUAUGUCAUAGAACACCGAUUGCGAAGGCAGCUAACGAGACUAUAACUGACGCUGAGGCAUGAAAGUGCGGGGAUCAAACA